AGCAGCCGCGGUAAUUCCAGCUCCANUAGCGUAUAUUAAAGUUGUUGCAGUUAAAAAGCUCGUAGUUGAAUUUCGGGGUCAGUAGGUCGGUCGUGCCACUGGUAUGAACUGGUUUUACUGAUUCCUCCCUCUUGAAGAACUGUAAUGCCAUUAAUUUGGUGUUGCAGGGAAUCAGGACUGUUACUUUGAAAAAAUUAGAGUGUUUAAAGCAGGCUUUAGCUUGAAUACAUUAGCAUGGAAUAAUGAAAUAGGACGUUUGAUCCUAUUUUGUUGGUUUCUAGGAUUGACGUAAUGAUUAAUAGGGAUAGUUGGGGGCAUUAGUAUUCAAUUGUCAGAGGUGAAAUUCUUGGAUUUAUUGAAGACUAACUACUGCGAAAGCAUUUGCCAAGGAUGUUUUCAUUAAUCAAGAACGAAAGUUAGGGGAUCGAAGAGGAUCAGAUACCGUCGCAGUCUUAACCAUAAACUAUGCCGACUAGGGAUCGGAUGAUGUUAAUUUUUUAAUGACUCA
rnacentral:rRNA from 1 species